UCCCCGGUAGCUCAACGGUAGAGCGGAUGGCUGUUAACCAUUAGGUUGCCGGUUCGAAUCCGGCCUGGGGAGCCA
rnacentral:tRNA from 1 species